AACGAACGCUGGCGGCGUGCCUAACACAUGCAAGUCGAACGGGAUUUAAGAGCUUGCUCUUAAAUUUAGUGGCGCACGGGUGAGUAACGCGUAGAUAAUCUGCCUGACGAUCUGGGAUAACACUUCGAAAGAGGUGCUAAUACCGGAUAAGCCCACGGGUUCUUUGGAAUCUGCGGGAAAAGGGGGGGACCUUUUGGCCUUCUGUCGUCAGAUGAGUCUGCGUACCAUUAGCUAGUUGGUAGGGUAAAGGCCUACCAAGGCGACGAUGGUUAGCUGGUCUGAGAGGAUGAUCAGCCACACUGGAACUGAGGCACGGUCCAGACUCCUACGGGAGGCAGCAGUGGGGAAUUUUGCGCAAUGGGCGAAAGCCUGACGCAGCAACGCCGCGUGAGUGAUGAAGGCUUUCGGGUCGUAAGGCUCUGUCGAGGGGAAAGAAGUGUAUUUGGGUUAAUACCCCUGAUACUUGACGGUACCCCUAAAGGAAGCACCGGCUAACUCCGUGCCAGCAGCCGCGGUAACAC
rnacentral:rRNA from 1 species